AGGCGACGACGGGUAGCCGGCCUGAGAGGGUGAUCGGCCACAUUGGGACUGAGAUACGGCCCAGACUCCUACGGGAGGCAGCAGUGGGGAAUAUUGCACAAUGGGCGGAAGCCUGAUGCAGCGACGCCGCGUGAGGGAUGACGGCCUUCGGGUUGUAAACCUCUUUCAGCAGGGACGAAGCGUAAGUGACGGUACCUGCAGAAGAAGCACCGGCUAACUAUGUGCCAGCAGCCGCGGUAAUACGUAGGGUGCGAGCGUUGUCCGGAAUUACUGGGCGUAAAGAGCUCGUAGGCGGUUUGUCACGUCGUCUGUGAAAUCCUAGGGCUUAACCCUGGACGUGCAGGCGAUACGGGCUGACUUGAGUACUACAGGGGAGACUGGAAUUUCUGGUGUAGCGGUGGAAUGCACAGAUAUCAGGAAGAACACCGAUGGCGAAGGCAGGUCUCUGGGUAGUAACUGACGCUGAGGAGCGAAAGCAUGGGUAGCGAACAGGAUUAGAUACCCUGGUAGUCCAUGCCGUAAACGGUGGGCGCUAGGUGUGGGGUUCCUUCCACGGGCUCCGCGCCGUAGCUAACGCAUUAAGCGCCCCGCCUGGGGAGUACGGCCGCAAGGCUAAAACUCAAAGAAAUUGACGGGGGCCCGCACAAGCGGCGGAGCAUGUGGAUUAAUUCGAUGCAACGCGAAGAACCUUACCUGGGCUUGACAUAUAGAGGAUCGCUACAGAGAUGUGGUUUCCCUUGUGGCUUCUAUACAGGUGGUGCAUGGUUGUCGUCAGCCUCGUGUCGUGAGAUGUUGGGUUAAGUCCCGCAACGAGCGCAACCCUUGUCUUAUGUUGCCAGCACGUUAUGGUGGGGACUCGUGAGAGACUGCCGGGUCAACUCGGAG
rnacentral:rRNA from 1 species